ensembl:snRNA U2 U2 spliceosomal RNA
ACAGCCUCUCAGCCUGCCAGCUGAGAUCAAGUUGGUAUCUGUUCUUACCAGUUUGGUACCUGACGCGUCUCCUGUCUGAGGACAGUGAUUUGGGGGGAUGAGAUAGAAUAGGAGCUUGCCGUCCCCACUCCACCCACCCACCUGGGUUGCAGGACCUCCAGGAAGGGGCACCCAGC